rnacentral:piRNA from 1 species
UUGGCCUGUGACAGUUAGGUGAGGGUUGC